ensembl:lncRNA
UUCUUGUCUUUUGGGUUUACAUUUUAUUUGACAAGACAAUGAGUUGUAAAACAUGUACAAUAGGAUUCCCAAAAAGCAUACAAAAUGAUAAUUGAUCUGUGAUACACAAAAUAAAAGAAAGAAAACCCAAUAAACACUCACAUAAGAUGAUUUGAUCUCCAGUGUUUUUGUUGUUUUUUCUGUUUUAGCACUGUCACUAUCAAUGUCAAACACAUCCCGUGUUUGUGUAUUUCCCAGUUUCGUCAUCUGUUCUACUGUCAGAGAAGAAAUGUGAGAAUUGAAAAGCUAAAAAUAACAUAAAGAAGGCACGUCUGGCUCCGUGAUAAAAAGCUGUGAUGACAAUGAAUGAACGAGAGAUCGGAGAAGAAAAACAAAACAAAGAGGGUGGAUGAGAGACUGAAUACAGACUGAACAAUAUUACCACUGGCAUUCACAGCUUGUGUUUCUGGAGCUGAACUAAUAACAGAGGAAGUGGGGAGACUGAGCAAAGCACCUGGGCCAAAAGGCAACACUGCACCUCUCACAGAGGGAGGAAGCCGGAGCCUUUAUCUGACAGAUAAUCCAUGUAAAAUCACUGCACUUACCUCCGAUAACCAUCUUGUAACUGUGGACCCAUGCUGUUUGGCAGCCUGUAGUGUAAACCGAAUUAUGUUUUUGCAGUUUGCAUUUUAUGAGUCAGCUUCAUAUCUAUUCCUGGAAAUGGCAACAAUCUAAUUCCAGAUACCUCACAAUGAAGCAACUCUAUUAAACGCAAGGCUCUGGGAAAAACCGAAUGAUCCUUAAAUGAGACGGCAGAGUCGAAACUCAGAACUGAAUGGUUUGCUGAGUCAUUGGUCUCUGAUAUAAUGGGUCCCAAUGAUUGUCUUUUCCCUCUUGCUCAAUCUCUCAAGAACAGCCUCCUGGCUAACGCAUUAAACACAAUAAAUCCACAGGAAACUAAAUAUUCAUUCAUUUUGUGAAAAUAAUUUAGCAACAAAAAAGCAAAACCAUUACACUGACUUCCCUUUAUGACAGUUUUGUUCUGUGUCGGGGCUAUAAAAUACAUCAUAUACGAUUGUCUGACACUGCACCAUAUAAGCGAGUCAAAA